GUCUUGAUAGCUCAGUUGGUAGAGCAAUUGACUCUUAAUCAAUGGGUCGAGGGUUCGAGUCCCUCUCAGGACA
rnacentral:tRNA from 1 species